UGGAUACUGAUAUUCAAACUGCGGUGCAAUAUCCUUUAGUCUUUCCCACAUCAUGGUCCACUUGUCUCGCUCAAUACUCCGAAGAAGAUUCAGUAGGUAACCUUUCUUAACAGCAUCAGAUGCACGCACAAAUACACUGAAUUUUGAGUAGUCUAAGACAUCUUCAAAUGGUAGCUCAAUGUCAUCGCUUAUUAUCACAGGAACACAGUGACUCACAAUGGCAUCGAAGAGGCGAUUUGAGGAAGGGGUAUCGCCAGCGAUAUUGAGACAGAACUUGGAUGAGGCCAUUCCGUGACUAGCCUUGUUGAUCCCAUUCCCUCGAACAGUUCCAAAUGUAAAGUGUACAUUUUUCUCAUCUCUCAGAAGGUAAUACAGUUCUU
rnacentral:misc_RNA from 1 species